CGUUACCAAUAACGUCAGUGGCGGAAGGGCGAGGAACAUGUGGGCAAUCUGCCCUUAUGGUGGGGAUAACGCCGGGAAACCGGUGCUAAAACCGAAUGUGACGUCGGGAGACAUCUUCUGAACGUUAAAGGCGGGGACCGCAAGGCCUGCUCCAUAGGGAUGGGCCCGCACAUCAUCAGCUUGUUGGUGGGGUAACGGCCUACCAAGGCUUACGAUUAGCUGGUCUGAGGGGACGACCAGCCGCACUGGGACUGAGAUACUGCCCAGACUUCUACGGAAGGCUGCAGUCGAGGAUCAUUUGCAAUGGGGGAAACCCUGACAAUGCGACGCUGCGUGGAGGAUGACGGUCUUCGGAUUGUAAACUCCUGUCAUACGGGACGAAUAAAUGAGGGUUAACAGCCCUUUGACGUGACGGUACCGUAAGAGGAAGCCACGGCUAACUCUGUGCCAGCAGCCGCGGUAAUACAGAGGUGGCGAGCGUUGUUCGGAUUUACUGGGCGUAAAGGGCGCGUAGGCGGCAAAGUGUGUGAGGUGUGAAAUCCAUGGGCUCAACCCAUGAAGUGCGCCUCAAACUGCUUUGCUUGAGUUCGGGAGGGGAGAUCGGAAUACAGGGUGUAGCGGUGAAAUGCGUUGAUAUCCUGUAGAACACCGGUGGCGAAGGCGGAUCUCUGGAACGAUACUGACGCUGAGGCGCGAAAGUAGGGGGAGCAAACAGGAUUAGAUACCCUGGUAGUCCCUACUGUAAACGGUGUACACUUGCCGUGACCGGAUUUCACCCCGGUCGUGGCGGAGCAAACGCGUUAAGUGUACCGCCUGGGGAGUACGGCCGCAAGGUUAAAACUCAAAGAAAUUGACGGGGGCCCGCACAAGCGGAGGAGCAUGUGGCUUAAUUCGAUGCAACGCGAAGAACCUUACCCAGGUUUGACAUAUACCUGCAAGACCUAUGAAAGUAGGUUUCCUUCGAGGGUGGUAUACAGGUGCUGCAUGGCUGUCGUCAGUUCGUGCCGUGAGGUGUUUGGUUAAGUCCAGCAACGAACGCAACCCCUGUGUCAUGUUGCCAUCAGGUAAUGCUGGGAACUCAUGACAGACUGCCCGUUUACGCGGGAGGAAGGUGGGGAUGACGUCAAGUCAGUAUGGCCCUUACAUCUGGGGCUGCACACGUGCUACAAUGACCGGUACAAAGAGACGCAAGACCGCGAGGUGGAGCAAACCUCCAAAACCGGCCUCAGUUCAGAUUGCAGUUUGCAACCCGACUGCAUGAAGUUGGAUUCGCUAGUNACGGCGUAUCAGUUACGGCGCCGUGAAUAUGUUCCCGGGCCUUGU
rnacentral:rRNA from 1 species